CGGCGAGGCUGAGGAAGGUCCAGCAAGAGCAAGAGUCUGAGGCGGAGGAGGCAAGCGCCAGUGCGGGAGCCCUGAGGGCAGACAGACCCGACCAAGGGGCGUGAAGGGCUCAGCCGCAGACAGGCCCGGCCUGACAGGGCCGGCGGGCAGGGCAGAAGGCAGGCCCGAGGCUGCCACAGCCCACAGGUGCUGCCAUCUCUCCUGGGCACGGCGGUGGCCUCUUGGCAGCUAGCUGGGGCGGCACAGGCGCCUUGGACCUUGAGUCUCUGAUGAGCUGGCCCCCUCCCUCAGGGGCAUCAGGCCCCCAGUGCACCUUGGGGUUCGUGCGCCGAGUGACCUAGCGCCAGAGCUUCUGAGCAACGGUGCCGAGCGGUGUCAGGUCUCGGCCCACAGACGCCAGCGGUCGCCAGGCGGCCGCAGAGGGGCAGGGGAUGAGUCAGGCCUUGGGAGCUGGGCCUGGCGGGAAGCAGGGUCCAUGCACGGCCGAGCAGGUGGCGGCUCCCAAGGGAGGCCAGAGGGCGGCGAGCUGGCAGAGCUAUGGCCCUGCUCUCCUGGCGGCAGCCCCACAGCGAGGCAGAGGCAGAGGGGUGGAGGGAAGCUGGUUACCUUUCCACCAUGCGGUCUCGCUGCCGCUUUUUCUGCUUGUCCUGACUCUUCUUGCCUGCCUGCAACUUGCGCUUGGUCUGGCCAUUUUCAUCCUGGGUGGUUAGGGCCCCUGUGGGAGCAGAUGGGCACUGUCACCAAUUUGGCUCUGCCAGGACAGGGCAGGCCCUGCGGCCUCUGGCUGAAUCACCCACUGUCCACUCCAGAGGGUCCAUCGAGAAUAGCUGUCCAAGCAAGGCCUCUGGCCAUGAGCAGGGCUGGGUAUCCUGGGCUGUGCAGGGAGUGGGUUUGGCCUAGGCCCCAAGGAGUGGGGGCCAGGCGAUGACCCCUCCACUCUCCAGGACACCCAUGCUCUCUGUGCAGUGGGCCAGGAGGAGGCUGGAAAGCAAAGAGGGGGUAUCUUUGUGGGGACACUGGCACAUGUUCAGAGGGGCCAGGUGGUGGGAUGCAGGGAGGCUGCUCACAUGGCCCUGCCCACCCCCAACCGGGCACCGCGGCAACAGUGGGCUGACGCUGGAUUUGCUGUUAGGUACCUGCUGGCGCUCAUCACUCAGGUGGGGGGACACGGAAUCCCAACAGGGGCUGGAGAGGUGCUAAGGGAGAGGAUACGCACACCAGAGCCGUAAAAACUGCACCGAGGGUCCCAGAUCGGACACCAGCCACUGAGGACUUGGAACUGCGCGUUACUGAGGGACCGAGGGCAGGGGGCGUGCCUGGGGUUCCCCACACUUUUACUAGCUGCCCCCAUCUGAAGGCAAAACCAGUGUGCUAGGCAGGGGUCACCACCAUCCACAGCCUCCGCCUGGGAAGGAGGAGGAAGAGUGGGAAGGGGGUGGAGGCGGCGAAAAGAAAGCCCCCUGCCAGCACACACUCGGGCCCACAAGGGAGGUCCCCAACUGGCCGCAUGUCUGCCGCAACCCUGCCCUCAGCUGGGUCCCUCCCACUGUGAGCCCCUGGAAGAGCCGCCCUAGCACCAGGCACCCCAGGAAAACUCACCCUUCUCUGGAUCCUCUUUGCCUUCUUCUCUCCCAUCCUCUUUUCCCUCCUCAUCCUCUCCG
rnacentral:lncRNA from 1 species